CCUACGGGAGGCAGCAGUGAGGAAUAUUGGUCAAUGGGCGGAAGCCUGAACCAGCCAAGUAGCGUGCAGGAUGACGGCCCUACGGGUUGUAAACUGCUUUUAUACGGGAAUAACGCGCCUUACGUGUAGGGCUUUGCAUGUACCGUAUGAAUAAGGACCGGCUAAUUCCGUGCCAGCAGCCGCGGUAAUACGGAGGGUCCGGGCGUUAUCCGGAUUUAUUGGGUUUAAAGGGCGCGUAGGCGGCAUGUCAAGCGUGCUGUGAAAUGUCCGGGCUCAACCCGGGCAUUGCAGCGCGAACUGGGGUGCUUGAGUCCGCGGAAGGCAGGCGGAAUUCGUGGUGUAGCGGUGAAAUGCUUAGAUAUGACGAAGAACACCGAUUGCGAAGGCAGCUUGCUGCAGCGGAACUGACGCUGAUGCUCGAAAGCGCGGGUAUCGAACAGGAUUAGAUACCCCAGUAGUC
rnacentral:rRNA from 1 species